UUAAUCCAAGGGACUUUCGAAGAAAUCUCAGUGAGCUAAUUGCCAAUGUAAGAGUAGUUUCUUGUAAAAAUACGAACAAAAACCUCGUACACCAACAGGCAAUAGCGAGUCAACCUAAAUUCACAAAACAAAGCCCUUUCUGCAUUCCCAUGUCGAUUGCUGGCGUCCAAGGUCAACUUCUGGAAGUUACAGUUGUUGGAUGUAACAAAUUGAAAGAUACAGAAUGGAUCUCAAGACAAGAUCCUUAUGUUUGUCUUGAAUAUGCUAACAACAAGUUUCGAACCCGCACCUGCACCGAUGGAGGGAAAAAUCCAGUUUUUCAGGAGAAGUUUAUUUUCACCCUAAUUGAAGGUCUUAGAGAGAUCAAUGUUGUUGUAUGGAAUAGCAAUACUCUCACCUUUGAUGAUUACAUAGGCAGCGGAAAAAUACAACUUAAUGAUGUUCUUUCUCGUGGAUAUGAUGAUAGAGCCUGGUCUCUUCAGACUAAAACUGGACGACAUGCUGGAGAAGUUAAACUGAUUAUGCAUUUUGCCAAAACCAAUAAGCCAUAUACAAACAGUGCUCCACCUUAUGCUGCAUCACAUCAAUCUCCUCAAGUAUCUAUGUACUCGGCUCCUCCACCGGCUUCGGUGCCUUGUAUGAAUGCAACCCCCGCUUAUCCACCACCUCCUACUGCCUAUCAUCCUCCACCAACACCCUGUCAACAUCCACCUGCUGCAUAUCCGUCUACUUCACCUUAUCCAUACCCUCCUAACCCAUCAGCAUACCCGUCUUAUCCGUAUCCUCCACCCCCAGAUCAGUCAACAUAUCCUCCUCCGCCAUAUCCACCACCUCAUCAUGCUCCAUCAUAUCCUCAUUCAGGACAUUACCCAGGAAUGUACCCUCCACCACCAUACUGAAGAAGCUAUGGUGUAUUGGUGUUGGAUUCAGGAAAAGGCGCACCAACAUGCUUCCAAGGUGGCAGUGGCAGUGGCAGUGGCAGUGGCAGUGGCAGUGGCUGUGGCUGUGGCAGUGGCUGUGGCUGUGGCUGUGGCUGUGGCUGUGGCUGUGGCUGUGGCUGUGGCUGUGAUAUAUUUUAGCUUAGAAAAUGAAAUAUAACAUCUAGCAGAGGAACUUUCACUUGUCAUCAGUCAUCAGUCAUCAGUCAUCAGUCAUCAGUCAUCAGUCAUCAGUCAUCAUUCAUCAUCCUUUGUUUCUCGUCUUUGUUGCUUUCAUUGAUAAGCAAUCUCCUAUGGUUGCACUGCACUAGGUCCAUAAUUGAUGGCAAUAUGUGAAUAGACUCAGCUUGACUCUUAAAACAUUGCUCUAAUCAAGUUUUUGAUGAUAUAAAAUUCUUUGGAGACGUGAUCACGAGUUUGUUCAACUCCAACUCCAA